CCUACGGGUGGCAGCAGUGGGGGAUAUUGCACAAUGGGGGGAACCCUGAUGCAGCGACGCCGCGUGGGUGAAGGAGCGUUUAGGCGCGUAAAGCCCUAUCGGCAGGGAAGAAGAUGACGGUACCUGACCAAGACGCCCCGGCUAACUACGUGCCAGCAGCCGCGGUAACACGAAGGGGGCAAGCGUUAUCCGGAUUUACUGGGCGGAAAGGGGGGGAAGAGGGGAAUGCAAGCCAGGAGUGAAAGCCCGGGGCCCAACCCCGGGACUGCCGUUGAAACUGCAUGGCUGGAGUACAGGAGGGGCAGGCGGAAUGCCUAGUGUAGCGGUGAAAUGCGUAGAUAUUAGGAGGAACACCGGUUGCGAAGGCAGCCUGCUGGACUGUGACUGACGUUGAGGCCCGAAGGCGUGGGUAGCAAACAGGAUUAGAUACCCUGGUAGUC
rnacentral:rRNA from 1 species